rnacentral:rRNA from 1 species
UACGUAGGGUGCGAGCGUUAAUCGGAAUUACUGGGCGUAAAGCGUGCGCAGGCGGCGCGUUAAGACAGGUGUGAAAAGCCCCCGAGCUUAACUUGGGAAUUGCGCUUGUGACUGGCGUGCUGGAGUGUGGCAGAGGGAGGUGGAAUUCCACGUGUAGCAGUGAAAUGCGUAGAGAUGUGGAGGAACACCGAUGGCGAAGGCAGCCUCCUGGGCCAGCACUGACGCUCAUGCACGAAAGCGUGGGGAGCAAACAGG